rnacentral:tRNA from 1 species
GGGCGGGUAGUUCAGCUGGCUAGAACGCUUCCCUUACAAGGAAGAGGUCAUAGGUUCGACUCCUAUCCCGCCCA